AUUGAACGCUGGCGGCAGGCCUAACACAUGCAAGUCGAGCGGAUGAGUGGAGCUUGCUCCAUGAUUCAGCGGCGGACGGGUGAGUAAUGCCUAGGAAUCUGCCUGGUAGUGGGGGACAACGUUUCGAAAGGAACGCUAAUACCGCAUACGUCCUACGGGAGAAAGUGGGGGAUCUUCGGACCUCACGCUAUCAGAUGAGCCUAGGUCGGAUUAGCUAGUUGGUGAGGUAAAGGCUCACCAAGGCGACGAUCCGUAACUGGUCUGAGAGGAUGAUCAGUCACACUGGAACUGAGACACGGUCCAGACUCCUACGGGAGGCAGCAGUGGGGAAUAUUGGACAAUUGGCUAAAGCCUGAUCCAGCCAUGCCGCGUGUGUGAAAAAGGUCUUCGGAUUGUAAAGCACUUUAAGUUGGGAGGAAGGGCAGUAAGUUAAUACCUUGCUGUUUUGACGUUACCAACAGAAUAAGCACCGGCUAACUCCGUGCCAGCCGCCGCCGUAAUAC
rnacentral:rRNA from 1 species